AGUUAAAAUCCCAUCAAAACAUCUACGGUUCCUUUCAUUCCAAAUACUCCAAAAAAUAGCACCAGGUACCAUUGACCAAGUCUUUUUGAUGGAUUUCCCAACUCUCCAAUAACACCAACUCUCAUAAGCUUCCUUGAUACUGUUUGGCUGGCAAGUCCAAACACGGAUAAAAACGUACUCCAAAUAUCAGUUGCUACUAAACAAUGCAAAAAAAGAUGCCUCACCCUCUCAGAUUCCAUUUGGCACAUAUAACAUCUAUU
rnacentral:lncRNA from 1 species